AUUGAACGCUGGCGGCAGGCCUAACACAUGCAAGUCGAACGAGUGGCGGCCGGGUGAGUAAUGUCUGGGAAAGUGCCUGAUGGAGGGGUAUAACUACUGGAACCAGUAGCUACUACCGCAUACCAUUAGAUCUCCCCAGAUGGGAUUAGCUAGUGGGUGGGGUAACGGCUCACCAAGGCGACGAUCCAUAGCUUGUCUGAGAGGAUGAACAGCCACACUGGAACUGAGCAAAGGUCCAGCCUCCUACGGGAGGCAGCAGUGGGGAAUUUUGCACAAUGGGCGCAAGCCUGCUGCAGCCAUGCCGCGUGUAUGAAGAAGGCCUUCGGGUUGUAAAGUACUUUCGGCGGGGAGGCGUUACCCGAAGAAGAAGCACCGGCUAACUCCGUGCCAGCAGCCGCGGUAAUAC
rnacentral:rRNA from 1 species